GAAACAGAAAUUGGUGACUUCCAGAAGCUUCUCGUCUGUCGUACCCUCAAGCUCAAGAAGCUGGGCUUUCCUUGCAAACAUCUGAUUGGAAGCAGGUUCCUGAUGGCUCCCUUGUAUGAAAGUUGAACUGACUUGAGUUUUCAAGCAAUUGUUUGUGGCUAGCGCUUAGUAAUAGCAGGUCUUUUGUGGUUAUAUGGGUAAAAGGUGCUUCCUUAACGUACUACAUAGCAUUCUACCCCUUGAUUGACUCUGUCGCUGAUAGAAUGCCACGACUUAUAUACAGUAGAAAGAAGAGAAAAUUUGGAGGGUAUAGGGAUGGUUAUGCUAUGAAGAGUAACUUCCCUGCCAUGCUGUCAUAUGUUGCCUAAUGUGUUGUCAAUGAUCUGAGUGAGUUUAUUAUGCGUCGUCAAUUUCUAUGAGGAUGUGGUGUCAAUUUCCAAGGGGUUAGUAUGCUCAGUUAUUUUGAUUUCAUUGUAAUAUAUACGUACUGGACUGAUUAUUAGGGAAUCUAUGUGAGCUAUUAUUCAGCCCUUUUAUGGGAGAUUAGAUUUUCUUGGUGGCUUUUUUCUGUUAGAUUAUUCGGACCUAGCUGAAGAACAACAACUCCCUGGCUUGUUAAACAGGCUGCAGGGAUAUGACCAUUUUAUCUUUGGCAGAAAUAAAGAGGAAGUUAAUAUUGAAAUAUGCACACAAGUACAGGCUGGGAUUAUGGAGGCCUCGAGCUGAACUAAUCAAAUCGUGAUCGGU